rnacentral:lncRNA from 1 species
UCUGUUCUUCAACACUAUCUGCUCACUUUCCAUCAGCCAGAUCAGAAUUCUAUGAGUUAUUGACCUUCAGUGAGUCUGUGUAUUUGAAUAAUGUCCUGAACAGUUAACUAAAUACCUUUUAAAUGCUCUUAUACAGCUACAAUAUGAUGAUACAAACAUCCUUUGUCCAACUGGCAAAACAGGGAGAGGAUCAGAUCAUAAUUUCCUGAACUGGUCUUUUGGGAAACUUAAACCUCUGAGUUCCUGUAGACUGAGCUCCUCAAGGAGGAACUAAAAUAUGAACCAGCCAGAAAGAAGAGAUUUGGUUGACCAAGACAUGUCUUAGAGUUUGGUCAAGGGCUCUGCUCACAGGUUUCUACACUUGUACAAAUGCUGAAGAUGGAAAGGCCUUUCCUGAUUUGUUUGGAGAAUUGAAAUAGAAUUUUGGUAGGUACUGUAUCACUUAAUUCUUAGAACAACCUUAGAGAUCUCAGUCGACCUUUUCAUGUGAGAGAUGUUAAGGCUGAUUCCCCAGAGAGGGGAAAUGACUUGCUAAAAGUAAAUUAACACAAGAGGAAAUGACAUGACAAACACUUGCAGAGAUGUUUGGCUUAUUUAGUCACUGGAAAAAUAGAAAACAAAGCAAACUCAUGACACUACUUUACAUCCAUUGAGUCAACAAAAAUUCAAUAUUUUAUAUAUAAUUUUAUUUUAUCUCAAUUAAUGAUCAGGCAAGGAAAGAGACACAUUCAUCCAUGGAAGACAUAGUAAUUGCAUUAAACUGGUAAGUUUCUUUUCAAAGGCAAUAUGCUAAUUUAAACCACGAGUCAUAAACACGGUCCUACCCUGUGACUCAGUAGUCUA